rnacentral:lncRNA from 1 species
CAGGUGUGCAUAACAGCCAAAAAUAUAAACGCAAAUUUCCAAUUUUCUUACAAGCUAGGAUGUGCAAGAAAAGAGGUAUGUAAUAUCAUAUAAUAUGUAAAAGCAGUAAGAUGAAGACCUGUUAAACAAUAAAUGAUACUGUAUUUGCCGAUGUUUACAGUGACAAUGUAAGAAUAUUUUUAUUGUCAUAUUUUGGCAAAAUAGUACAUUUAAAAGGAUGUGAUAUGAGGAAAUCAGAACACAUGGAGCAAACGUGUAAGAACAUAUGAAAAGACUCAUCAGUGACGCCCGAAUAAAAAAAGUAUUAAAAAAGGUCAAAUAAAGUACGAAGUUAAAAAGCAGUGAGGACCAACACUUCUUAAAGUUUUUGCUAAAUACAGCUCAGGUAAUCUGAACCUGGGGAGAAAAGCCUUAGUAUUGCAAACAUUUAGUUUAAACAAUGUUUAUUCAGAUAUCUCAACAUUACAUGAUAUUAUACAAAUAGAAUAAUAUUAAGCAUUCAGAAACAAGCAAUUUGCUUUUACAAUUCUGUUUCCUUUUACAAAAAAAUUUACACUUAUUGAACAUUACAUAAAUAUAAAUACUGGCAUGCUCUGUAAUAAAUAUAUGAAUAUUUAAACAGUUAAUUUAUAAUUAGGACCAUAUUAAUAAUAAUUCAUGUCGACACUGAAGUGCUUACUACUAGACUGUUGUAACCUCGGGGAAUAAAAACUUCACAAGCAGUGGCAUCGACUCACUGGUUGUAAAUAAACUCAUCAUAGAUACCAGAAUCAAUUUGUCAAGACGAAACUUUUACAUCCGUAAAAUACAUGUUUAAUGAAAAACCCAUAUGUAUUUUAAGUAUUCGGACCGUAAAAUGAAGAUAAAUGAUAAUAAGUAUUCCCAAAAUUGUAUUGUCUUUCUAUUUCUAGUAUUGCGGACAAAAAAAAGAGAAAUAUAAGACACAUCUGUUGUACCACAAAUCUUUGCAACAAAUACAAUUUAGGUACAAAACAGUCAACCACCAUGGUUACAAAAACCACAGUAUACCACUACUGUCCGGCAGAUCACAAAACAACCAGCGACUACGCAGAUAACACAAGCUCCACCUACUACAAAAUUAACUACUACAGUCCUACCAACUACAGCAAGGUUACAACAAACAUCACGUAUGCUCAAACAUAGUAGAAUUCGGAAAUUAAUUUUAAUUAAAGAAUAUAUUCCCCUCAUGUAAAGCUCGUAUUUAUUGUCUGGAUUCGGUCAUAGUUAUUUUUUUUCUGAUUUGUCACCUGAAACAUUAGUAUAUAUUUCGGAUAUUUAAAGAUGUUGACCUCGAACAUUACCGAAGAAACAUUAAUUUUCGAAAUGAACAUCUGGGCACUAGUGCAUUAAAAUUGGGAUAGGUUUGUAUUAUUCAAGCUUUAUUCAUGAAUUGCCUUCUUUUUUAUAUAUCCUAAACCGUUAUCUUAUUUUUUUUCAAGUUGAAUUUCCAUGCACAACUAUUAAGAAGGAAUACUUACAAAUACCUUCAAAUUAACAAUUAUUGGUAAAAACUUGUUAUAAAAAUUACCGAAUUCAGACAGUAGGGAUACAAUAAAACGUGACAUUCAACGGAGCGACUGCAAAACAACUGCCAUAUGCAUGGCUUUAAACUCGUAAAAAAAAAUCACCAACAUUAUUUGAAUAAUAAUUUAUAUUAUUUUAGCAAAUAAUCAAUGCACUGUGCAUGGUUACCAUCUUUGGAGAGUUCACUGUUAUUUCAUAAUUGAUAUGCCUGCAAUUUGGGCAGGAGGAAACGUAGGAAACCACCACAUAGUAAGUAUGACUAACACAUAUAUAUAUAUAUAUAUUUAAAUUGUUCAAAAUCUCAGAACUACUGUUGCUUUUAUUUAUUUAUCCCUUAUUUUAUAAAUUUGGAAUUAACAUUGUGUCAAAUUUAUUCAUUCAGUGUAUGUUCACUAGUGUUAAUAUAUCUUUUGAUCGAGUUAAGCCAUUUCAAUUGAUAUUUUAUUGUGUGUCUUUCUAUGUUGUGAUGUUACUCUAUUAUUUCAGAUAAGGGGUGAAGGUUGGUACGUAUUGGAAUGUGUAAAACCACUGUAUAUGUUUGCACCUAUCCUAAGUCAGGAAUCUGAUGUUCAGUUAUUGUCGUUUGUUGAUGUGGUCCUUUUCUCGUUUUUCAUAUAGAAUAAACCGUUGUUUUUUCUCGUUUGAAUGGUUUUACACUAGUCAUCUUUGAGGCCCUUUAUAGCUUGAUGUGCGGUAUGAGCCAAUACUCCGUUUUAAAGACCUUACUUUGACAUAUAUUGGUUUAUGUUUUGUGCAAAUUGUUAUUUGGAUUGAGAGUUGUCUCAUCGGCAUUCAUACCACAUCUUUUUAAUACAAAUGUAUCUAUAUAGCAUGUAAAUGCACCAAGCUCUUUUUAUGCUUUAAACCUUAAUUUGUGUUGUCGGUCGGAUCGACUAGUUCACAAUAAAACAGACAAAUUGAUAAAUUCAUUGCUUACAUCAAUAUGAAUCAAUUGAAAAUAAUAUAAUUUCAAAUGGAUACACUUUUUGUUUUUGGACUUCUUUAAAUGCAGUGUAUUUUAAUUUUGUAAUUAAUUAGAACGAUGUGUUCUUUGUAAGUAAAAUUGUAACCACUUAUACGCACUACAUUUCAGGAUCCUUGCCAAACCCUUAACAUGCAUAUGGUGAAAAUAAACACAGACAGCGAGCAUAAUGUGAUUGUCAAUUUUGUUAGGAACAUAUAUAAUUGUAAGAUAUCAUUAAAGACAUCAGAUAGAACAAAAUGAUGAAGUACUGACUAUUUAGGUUAUACAAAUUAUUUAGUCUUGAUAUGUGUAUUAAAAAAACCAAUAACAACACGCUGAAAUAUCAUACGUCCGAAGCGCUUUUCUAGAUUUAGCUUCAACAUGCAAAAAGAUAUGAUUUUAACCAUUUUUAAAAUUUCUCGCGACUGGUGUUGAAGGUCUGCACGUUAGAGUGCUAUUGUUACAUCUCUACGAGGUGUCCGUAACUGAUAAUUAAAGGAAACAGUAGAAGUAGGGACUACAAAUCUGUUAAAUUUAUUUUAUUCAAAUUAUCAGAUUUUCAAUAACUAUAAAGUGAUACAACCGUAUGGCGACUGGUUUUGAAAAUAGUCAACGGUACUAUCACACAUUACCCUCAGCAAUGGAGUCAUGAGACCACAAAAAGUCAUUCAAACCACGGUCUAGUAAACACUUUAAUAUUGAAUUGUCGAGUUGGCUCUUAUAAUGAUGAAUAGAGAUGUUGUUCUCAAUUUGAAGGUUUGCAUGUCGAGGAAAUAUUUACAUGGAAGGCAUUUACCACUUAAGUUAACGAAGACUUCAGUGCAAUUUCCUAUCAUUAACAAUGCUAAGGACAUUAGCUGCGUGCACGUAUAUUAUUAUUUCACGUAUAUUAACAGGCAAAUGACAUAAAGGGCCACUCAUAUUGUUGUCAACGGAUUAUGGUAUGUCUUAGGAUGCUUUAAUGACAUGUCCCAACAUUAAAUGUAGCCGAAAAGAAAACAACCAAAACCUGAUUUUUGUAUAUGCAACUAAAGAAUAAGCGUCUGCUUACCGUUCAGGAGCAUCUAGGACCCUCACACGUUUUUUGUGGGGUUUAUAAUGCUCAGUUUGAUAAGUUUUAAAGACAUUGUAUGGUGAACUUGUUUGUUUUUUUGGUCGUCAUUCGUUUAAUAUAUAUAUAUACACCACUCUAUCAUACUGAUGUAUAAACAUUUUAAAAAUUAGUCUGCUGCUUAUUGUAAUCUGUUUUGUAUAAUUAGACCCAGGUGACGUUUGGCUGGGUGGUUCAUAUCAUCGAAACACUUGGAUGUGGAAGAAUAGCGAAGAAACCAUAGACGUCCAUAACAAACAUUGGAAACCAGGACACCAUCAUUUUCAUUGUCUUGCUUUACAUGGAAAUCAAUGGAUUACCUACCCAUCACUGCAAUGAGAAGUACAAGUCUUUGUGUGAAAAAGUCGUGAAAUAGAUG